CCUACGGGAGGCAGCAGUCGGGAAUUUUGCGCAAUGGGCGAAAGCCUGACGCAGCGACGCCGCGUGGGGGAAGAAGGCCUUCGGGUUGUAAACCCCUUUCGUGAGGGAAAAAGUCCCGAGCAAUCGGGAUGAUGGUACCUCAGGAAGAAGCCACGGCUAACUCUGUGCCAGCAGCCGCGGUAAAACAGAGGUGGCAAGCGUUGUUCGGAUUUACUGGGCUUAAAGGGCGUGUAGGCGUCCUGAUAAGUCAGAUGUGGAAGCCUUGGGCUUAACCCAAGAAUUGCAUUUGAAACUGUCAGGAUUGAGUCGUGCAUGGGAGGGCGGAAUUCCUGGUGUAGCGGUGAAAUGCGUAGAUAUCAGGAGGAAGGCCGGUGGUGAAGAUGGCCCUCUGGGCAAUGACUGACGCUGAGGCGCGAAAGCGUGGGUAGCAAACAGGAUUAGAUACCCUGGUAGUCCACGCCCUAAACGAUGAGAACUGGAUGUCGGGAGGGUCUGCCUUCCGGUGUCGUAGCUAACGCGUUAAGUUCUCCGCCUGGGGAGUACGGCCGCAAGGUUGAAACUUAAAGGAAUUGACGG
rnacentral:rRNA from 1 species